rnacentral:lncRNA from 1 species
AUGGGCAUCGCUGGGGCCGUGAGAAUGGGGCUGCCCCCUCCCGCCUGGGAACCGCCUGGACGGGGGCGAGUGGACGCCGCAGGGCCGGGAGGGGUGCUCAGCACCCUUGCACGCAGAUCCCCGGCCACGGGGGCCCGCAGGCCCUGCAGCAGGGUUUGCACCGUGCCGUGUGCCACACGGAGCCCGGUGCAUCGCAGGGGAGGGCACGGCCACGCCGGACAGGGGCCGGAGCGCGGGAAGGCGGCCACCGCGGCUCUCCCUGCCACCAACCCGGGGAGGUGUUCGCAGGCACAGCGGCGCGGUCUGGAGGGGACGACCGGGCACGGCGCCUGGGGCCAGGCUGGGGUGCAGGACAGCCCUGGGCACACGGCGGGGAACAGCCCGUCUCCGUGCGGCAGAGAAGCCCCGGGAGCGGGAGCCAGCCCUGGACGAGCGUCGGGGCUGGGAACAGCUCUGCCCGCACAGGGCUGGGGAAGCGGCAGGGACGCGGGGCUGCAGGCACGGCGGGGAGCUGGCGUUUGUACCGGGGGGCCGCGGGGAGGCAGGAGCGCGGCGGCAGCAGGAAGGCUGGAGGAGGGAGCAGCAAGGCGCAGGUCGGUGCAGAGGUCUGGGGCGCAGCAGCAGCCGGGCGCCCGCAGCACUUGGUGCUGUGCCCCUUCCCUCCCACGGCUGAGCAGCUGCCCCGGCCACGGCUCCCAUGGGACGCAGCCCAGAGCUGGGAAUGGAAGGAUGAUCUGGGGCAGGGGCAGGCACAGCAGCUGCCUCCACCCUGUGCCUGCAAAGAGCAGCCCCGCUCCCGCUGCGCGACGGCUCCGCGCAGCCUGGCAGGGUCCCGGCCCUCCUCCGGCCCCAGCCCCGGGGAUGGGGACGGGCGCCGGGGCAGCACCCUGCCCCGCUGCCCCCACGCUCGGCCGUGCCGGAGCAGGACCGCGGGGGAGCCCUGCUGCCCCCCGAGCCGGGGGCAGCGGCCCCUUCCAGCGGAGCCCGGCCACGGAGGCAGGCACGACACGGGGCGAGGGGGCUGGGAGCAACCGCAGCGGGGGCAGCUUCCGCCCCCGGCCAGAGCCCAGCAAAUCCAGG